GGCUUAGAGUUUGAUCCUGGCUCAGAGUGAACGCUGGCGGUAGGCCUAACACAUGCAAGUCGAACGGCAGCACAGUAAGAGCUUGCUCUUACGGGUGGCGAGUGGCGGACGGGUGAGGAAUACAUCGGAAUCUACUCUGUCGUGGGGGAUAACGUAGGGAAACUUACGCUAAUACCGCAUACGACCUACGGGUGAAAGCAGGGGACCUUCGGGCCUUGCGCGAUUGAAUGAGCCGAUGUCGGAUUAGCUAGUUGGCGGGGUAAAGGCCCACCAAGGCGACGAUCCGUAGCUGGUCUGAGAGGAUGAUCAGCCACACUGGAACUGAGACACGGUCCAGACUCCUACGGGAGGCAGCAGUGGGGAAUAUUGGACAAUGGGCGCAAGCCUGAUCCAGCCAUACCGCGUGGGUGAAGAA
rnacentral:rRNA from 1 species